UAAAUACGGGAGGCAGCAGUGGGGAAUUUUGGACAAUGGGCGCAAGCCUGAUCCAGCCAUGCCGCGUGUCUGAAGAAGGCCUUCGGGUUGUAAAGGACUUUUGUCAGGGAAGAAAAGGGCGGGGUUAAUACCCCUGUCUGAUGACGGUACCUGAAGAAUAAGCACCGGCUAACUACGUGCCAGCAGCCGCGGUUAAUUUUU
rnacentral:rRNA from 1 species